rnacentral:tRNA from 1 species
AAUGAAAUAGUUCAGUUGGUUAGAACUUUGAGAUUAUAAUCCAAAUGUCAGGUGUUCAAGUUCCUUUUUCAUUA